rnacentral:sRNA from 1 species
GCGGUAAUUCCAGCUCCAAUAGCGUAUAUUAAAGUUGUUGCAGUUAAAAAGCUCGUAGUUGAACUUUGGGCUUGGUCAGCCGGUCCGCUUUUCUGCGUGUACUGGUCCUGACCGAGCCUUUCCUUCUGGCUAACCUGUCUCUCGGGGCAGGCGAACCAGGACUUUUACUUUGAAAAAAUCAGAGUGUUCAAAGCAGGCCUUUGCUCGAAUAUAUUAGCAUGGAAUAAUAGAAUAGGACGUUUGGUUCUAUUUUGUUGGUUUCUAGGACCAUCGUAAUGAUUAAUAGGGACGGUCGGGGGCAUCAGUAUUCAAUUGUCAGAGGUGAAAUUCUUGGAUUUAUUGAAGACUAACUACU